rnacentral:rRNA from 1 species
GACGAACGCUGGCGGCGUGCCUAAUACAUGCAAGUCGAACGCACAGUUUAUACCGUAGCUUGCUACACCAUAGACUGUGAGUUGCGAACGGGUGAGUAACGCGUAGGUAACCUGCCUGGGAGCGGGGGAUAACUAUUGGAAACGAAAGCUAAUACCGCAUAAUAUUAAUUAUUGCAUGAUAAUUAAUUGAAAGGUGCAAUUGCACCACUACCAGAUGGACCUGCGUUGUAUUAGCUAGUAGGUGAGGUAACGGCUCACCUAGGCGACGAUACAUAGCCGACCUGGGGGGGUGGUCGGCCACACUGGGACUGAGACACCGCCCCGGCUCCUUCCGGGAGCAGCCGUAGGGGAUCUUCGGCAAUGGAGGGAAGUCUGACCGAGCAACGCCGCGUGAGGGAAGGAGGGUUUUGGGUCGUAAAGCUCUGUUGUAAGGGAAGAACGGGUGUGAGAGUGGAAAGUUCACACUGUGACGGUACCUUACCAGAAAGGGACGGCUAACUACGUG